rnacentral:rRNA from 1 species
UACGGGGGGAGCAAGCGUUGUUCGGAUUUACUGGGCGGAAAGGGCGCGUAGGCGGCCACCGCAAGUCGACUGUGAAAUCUCCGGGCUUAACCCGGAGAGGUCAGCCGAUACUGCGGGGCUAGAGUGCAGAAGGGGCAACUGGAAUUCUUGGUGUAGCAGUGAAAUGCGUAGAUAUCAGGAGGAACACCAGUGGCGAAGGCGGGUCCCUGGACAACACCUGACACUGAGGCACGAAAGCUAGGGGAGCAAACAGG